UGGGUUCUGUGCUGACAGGCUGACAGCAGCAGGUCCAAUGUGGGGCUUGAACUCACGAACCGCGAGAUCAUAGCUUGAGCCAAAGUCGGAUGCUCAGCCAACUUAGCCAGGUGCCCCUACAAUUACCCUAUGUUUUUAAUAGUAAAACUAACUUGCAUUAAACAUCGCCUGAUUAUUUACAUGUCUGUUGCAGGAAUAAUGCUUGGCCAUAUAAGGUCUCUCUUCUUUUUAAAAUUAAUCUCUACAUCCAACAUGGGGCUCAAAUUCAUGACCCAGGGAUCAAGAAUCAUAUGCUCCGUGGACUGAGCCAGGAGGCGUCUUGUAUCUAAGCCUUUACUUCAUGUGCACACUGACAGAAACCAACAGUAGCCCAGGAAAUGGAACCGUGGACACCACCAGUAGCCAAAGAACUGGGGAUGGGAAAGGAUUGAACCAGCAGACAUCAGAGAAUGGAGACUGUUGGGCUGAUCCAAGUGAAUGGAGGACUAUAGCUGCUAUCGGCAGCUCCCAGUGUGGAAUCUGAGGACAGAGCCUCGGUCUGGGGUUUAGAAGUUCCUGCAGAUUGGCCAACAGAAGGCCUGUGUAUGCCACCAGCAAUUUCCAGAAUAUACUAAGCCAGCAGACUCCAGUAAACAGGGACUGUGGACUGGAAUGGGGGAAAGGGAUUCCACACAAGUGCAGAACUACAGACUGAACCAAGGGCUACCGACUGGUGCUCUGUUAGAUUCUCCUGUCAAUCUAGACUGACCUGUUAACCCUGGACUGGAAGGUCCGUUAGAUUGGGAGC